ACGACCUUACUUGAACAGGAUCUGUUCUAUAGGCUCGUACCUCUGUAUCCUUGAUCACUAAGGAGACAGGAACCUAAGUCUGGAGGAUGAAUUACUGCCGCGUGAUCAGAGCGUGAUUAAUAGCGUCUUGAUCCUCGGAUCACAGACACAGUAGAGGAUCGUUCCCAGCCUGUUCACCCAGGAUGGGAUGGUCUCGCGGUUGUCUGACAGGCU